GAUGAACGCUGGCGGCGUGCUUAACACAUGCAAGUCGAACGGGCUCAUAUUGAAACCUAGUGAUGUAUGAGUUAGUGGCGGACGGGUGAGUAACGCGUGGAGAACCUGCCGUAUACUGGGGGAUAACACUUAGAAAUAGGUGCUAAUACCGCAUAAGCGCACAGCUUCGCAUGAAGCAGUGUGAAAAACUCCGGUGGUAUACGAUGGAUCCGCGUCUGAUUAGCUGGUUGGCGGGGUAACAGCCCACCAAGGCGACGAUCAGUAGCCGGCCUGAGAGGGUGAACGGCCACAUUGGGACUGAGACACGGCCCAA
rnacentral:rRNA from 1 species